UACGGGGGGGGCAAGCGUUGUUCGGAAUUACUGGGCGUAAAGCGCGCGUAGGCGGCUUUGUAAGUCGGUUGUGAAAUCCCCGGGCUUAACCUGGGAACUGCAUCCGAGACUGCAUAGCUAGAGUAUGGGAGAGGGAAGUGGAAUUUCAGGUGUAGCGGUGAAAUGCGUAGAUAUCUGAAGGAACAUCAGUGGCGAAAGCGACUUCCUGGACCAAUACUGACGCUCAUGUGCGAAAGCGUGGGGAGCAAACAGGG
rnacentral:rRNA from 1 species